GGAAAGUUCCGGCGGUAUGGGAUGGACCCGCGGCCUAUCAGCUUGUUGGUGGGGUAAUGGCCUACCAAGGCGACGACGGGUAGCCGGCCUGAGAGGGUGACCGGCCACACUGGGACUGAGACACGGCCCAGACUCCUACGGGAGGCAGCAGUGGGGAAUAUUGCACAAUGGGCGAAAGCCUGAUGCAGCGACGCCGCGUGAGGGAUGACGGCCUUCGGGUUGUAAACCUCUUUCAGCAGGGACGAAGCGCAAGUGACGGUACCUGCAGAAGAAGCACCGGCUAACUACGUGCCAGCAGCCGCGGUAAUACGUAGGGUGCGAGCGUUGUCCGGAAUUAUUGGGCGUAAAGAGCUCGUAGGCGGUUUGUCGCGUCGGCCGUGAAAACUUGGGGCUUAACUCCAAGCUUGCGGUCGAUACGGGCAGACUUGAGUUCGGCAGGGGAGACUGGAAUUCCUGGUGUAGCGGUGAAAUGCGCAGAUAUCAGGAGGAACACCGGUGGCGAAGGCGGGUCUCUGGGCCGACACUGACGCUGAGGAGCGAAAGCGU
rnacentral:rRNA from 1 species